ACGACUCUCGGCAACGGAUAUCUUGGCUCUCGCAUCGAUGAAGAACGUAGCGAAAUGCGAUACUUGGUGUGAAUUGCAGAAUCCCGUGAACCAUCGAGUCUUUGAACGCAAGUUGCGCCCGAAGCCGUCAGGCCAAGGGCACGUCUGCCUGGGUGUCACGCA
rnacentral:rRNA from 1 species